rnacentral:tRNA from 1 species
GGGGUAGUAGUCUAGUUUGGUUUAUGAUUCGUGGUUCGGGACCACGAGGUCGUCGGUUCAAAUCCGACCUACCCCA